rnacentral:lncRNA from 1 species
UUUCUCAUAAAAUAAAUGUUCCCAUUUAUAUACAGAAGACAGACUGUACAGGCGGGCAGAUGGACAGACGGGCCUGGAGGCCAGGCGCCGGGCGUUACUGAACUUGGGAUUCAAAGGUGCCAUUGAGCUGCCCUUCCUCAUAGUCCAUCUGACACAAGAUCAUGUUGUUCUUCAGGAAGAAUUUGUCUCCCACACAAAAUCUAGAAAAUCCAAGCGAGAGAGAGAAGCCAUGGGAAGGUCCCAGUGGGUAAGGGGGGGGCUGCAGACAGAAGCCGGCCUGGCCUAUGAGGUGAGCUAUGUGGGAGGUGGUGGGGGGAGUUUGUUCCUUGAACCUUCCAGAGGGAACUGCCAAAAGUCCCCACAGCACACCUGGGCAAUUCCCCCAGGCCAGCCCCAACCUUGGCCAGGCCCUGUAGCCUGAGGUGGUAGGACAGACAGACAGUUGGGCCACAGGCUUCCAUAGUCAGGUCUCCUGUGUUGGUGAGUGUAGGGUUAGGGGGGUUGGUGGAGAGGUGCAGGAACAGCCUACCCCAGUCCCAGAGAGGGAGAAAGGGAAAGCACAAACAGAAAAAGACCAAGUGGGGAGACAGAUGGAGAAAGGCAGAGAUGGGGCCGGGUGUGGUGGCUCACACCUGUAAUCCCAACACUUUGGGAGGCUGAGGUGGGUGGAUCACGAAGUCAGGAGUUUAAGACCAGCCUGGCCAAGGUGGUGAAACCCCAUCUCUACUAAAAAUACAAAAAAAUUUAGCUGGUGGGCAUCUGUAAUCCCAUCUACUCGGGAGGCUGAGGCAGAGGAUUGCUUGAACCCAGGAGGCGGAAGUUGCAGUGAGCCGAGAUCACGCCACCACACUCCAACCUGGGCGACAGAGUAAGACUCCAUCUCAAAAAAAAAAAAAAAAAAAAAAAAAAAAGGCAGAGAUGGGUAAGGAAGGAGGGAUAAAAUGGUUGUUUUUUCCAUCCGUCUAUCCCUCUCCCCAAUUUAAGAGGAUGGCUCAGUACAGGGCAUUCUUCCUCUAAACAAAAUUGAUAAGUUACCUAGAGCAUCCUUCUAGGAGGUAACCCCGUUCCACUAUCUCCUCUCCUACCGAAGGAAGGCCCUUCAUUGGUCUCCUAGUCCUCCCCAAGUAAGGGAAGAUUCCGGUCCUUUCCCUAAAGAUGUCCCCAGGGUGGGUGAAGCCUUUAGUGAGACCCCAAGAUCGCUGGCCUAGUUCCAGCAGAUCCCAGUUCAACCACCAGGUGGCGCUGUAAGUUCACUGAGCCCUCCUAACAGCAGGUCCGGCCAGAGCCCCCAGCCAGACCAGCGUUCCCUGUAGGUCCCUCUGAACCUCACUUCAGGGAGCACUUGUAUGCGUUCCUACCUGACCUGGGGGCUCCUGAGAAGAGCGCCUGCCUUCUGGUGCUAGGCUGGGCUGGAACCAGAAUCACAAGGGCUGGGUGAGGAGAGAGUGGCCACUCCCUGAGGGGACUUUGCCCUCCAGAUUUGGGAACCCCUUCUCACUGGAACAUACAUGCACACACAUGCACAUACUAUACACUGGGUACGGGGGUGGGAGGAUACGUUAUCCCAUGCACAUGCACGUUUCAAACACGUAUACAGGCUGGGCGCGGUGGCUCACACCUGUAAUCCCAGCAAUCUGGGAGGCUGAGGUGGGCAGAUAACCUGAGAUCAGGAGUUCAAGACCAGCCUGGCCAACAUGGUGAAACCCCGUCUCUACUAAAAAUAUAAAAAUAAAAAUAAAAAUAAAAAUUAGCCAGGCGUGGUGGCACACGCCUGUAGUCCCAGCUACUUGGGAGGUUGAGGCAGGAGAAUCACUUGAACCCGGGAGGCAGAGGUUGCCGUGAGCCAAGAUUGUGAGAUCACACCACUGCACCCCAGCCUGGGCAACAGAGUGAGACUAUCUCAAAAAAUAAAAUAUGUAUACACACAUGCAUACUCACCUCAUCAUGCAUGCACGUUGCACAUACACAUACACCCCCAGACAUUUAAAAACACAUGUACAAAUGCAUAUUAAUUCCAUCAUGCACAUGUGCCCACUUGUACAUUUCCAAAUACACAUGCAUGCACAUGCACACUCAACUAUGCAUACACAGUAAACUCAUGCACGCCUUCAUUAUAUUCACACAGAAAUGUGCCACACAGAUGUGCACACCCAAUAUUAAAGUGCACACAUUUGGCUACCGAGCUUACACACACAUAAAACACAUAAAGCACAUGCACGCUCAUAACCUGCACGCACCACCACAUACACACACGCAACCCGCAUUUGCGUGCACGCCUCCGCCGUGCUCCUGGCCCAUCCCAGCAG